rnacentral:tmRNA from 1 species
GGGGGCGAAAUGGGUUUCGACGGGGUGAUGGCAGGGUUUAGGAGCAUGGCGGUUUUCCUCUAUUUUACCGUAAAAAAUAGAGGAAAAAACAACUGCCAACACUGGUAGUUACGCCCUUGCUGCUUAAUUAAAAGCAGCAGCCUCGCUUAGGUUCGCAUCCGACCUAAGUUGAGGUUAAAAAUGGAUGCUUAAGGUCUUCUUUUAGUUGCCGAAGGAAGACCGGAUCUUAAAAGGCAACUGGCAAGGUUCUGCCUGUCGGUUGGCGAAGAACCUUGCGAGAAAAAUAAACCGACUAACCAUGUAGAGCCUAAACCCGAAACACUCCGGACGCGGGUUCGAUUCCCGCCGCCUCCAUAA